UACAACUUUCAGCGGUGGAUGUCUAGGUUCCCACAACGAUGAAGAACGCAGCGAAAUGCGAUACGCAAUGCGAAUUGCAAGACCUCGUGAAUCAUCAAAAUUUUGAACGCACAUUGCGCUCUCGGGAUUUUCCCGUGAGCAUGCUUGUCUGAGUGUCUGUGGACC
rnacentral:rRNA from 1 species